GAUGAACGCUGGCGGCGUGCCUAAUACAUGCAAGUCGAGCGAACGGACGAGAAGCUUGCUUCUCUGAUGUUAGCGGCGGACGGGUGAGUAACACGUGGAUAACCUACCUAUAAGACUGGGAUAAUUUCGGGAAACCGGAGCUAAUACCGGAUAAUAUUUUGAACCGCAUGGUUCAAAAGUGAAAGACGGUCUUGCUGUCACUUAUAGAUGGAUCCGCGCUGCAUUAGCUAGUUGGUAAGGUAACGGCUUACCAAGGCAACGAUGCAUAGCCGACCUGAGAGGGUGAUCGGCCACACUGGAACUGAGACACGGUCCAGACUCCUACGGGAGGCAGCAGUAGGGAAUCUUCCGCAAAGGGCGAAAGCCUGACGGAGCAACGCCGCGUGAGUGAUGAAGGUCUUCGGAUCGUAAAACUCUGUUAUUAGGGAAGAACAUAUGUGUAAGUAACUGUGCACAUCUUGACGGUACCUAAUCAGAAAGCCACGGCUAACUACGUG
rnacentral:rRNA from 1 species